UUCGCAAUGCCCGAAAGGGUGACGAAGCGACGCCGCGUGGGUGAGGAAGGCCUUCGGGUUGUAAAGCCCUGUCAGGGGUUAAGAAAUGUAGGUACGCUAAUAUCGUGCUUAUUUGACAAAGGCUCCAAAGGAAGCCACGGCUAACUCUGUGCCAGCAGCCGCGGUAAUACAGAGGUGGCAAGCGUUGUUCGGAAUUAUUGGGCGUAAAGAGCACGUAGGUGGGUUUGUCAGUCAGAUGUGAAAGCCUUCUGUUCAACGGGAGAAUUGCAUCUGAAACUGCAAAUCUUGAGUAUAGAAGGGGAGAAUGGAACUUCUGGUGGAGCGGUGAAAUGCGUAGAUAUCAGAAGGAACGCCAGCGGCGAAAGCGAUUCUCUGGUCUAUUACUGACACUCAGUGUGCGAAAGCUAGGGGAGCAAACGGGAUUAGAUACCCCGGUAGUCCUAGCCGUAAACGAUGGGCACUAAGUAGAGGGGUUUUA
rnacentral:rRNA from 1 species